CAUUCAUUUGCGAACCUGAAUAUACAAUAAUUUGUCAGAUUGUGGUCAUAACAGUGGCUUGCGAUUAGGAACCUCAAUGAAUUUCAAAUUCAGGAUGCUUUCAGUUGAUUUUAUAACUUUGGCUACUCUGCUUUAAUUUUAAACGUUCUGUUUUGGAAUAUGCUUUUUCGACGCUUUUUUUAAAAAAGCAGCAAUAGUCAUACUAGUCACUAAAUUAUCUAAAUACUCAAUUCAAAUUUGCUUACUUUGU